ACUAUGCAAGAAAAUGAAAGUGUUCAGGGUAAAGUCGAUGCAGCAUCUUUUGAAGCAGAUCACAAUUCUAUCUUGAUAAAGGAUUUAUUCCUUAUUGUGGAUGAUAGAGACAUGGAUCGGAUCUUUCCCAGUGGGGAAUUCACAGACAACAGAGUGAUCAAAGGAGAAAGAAAAGGCAAUAAGCUUGUGUCACUCACAACUGUGACCGAAGAGUGAAAGAGCACAACUGUGACCGAAGAGUGAAAGAGCGACAGAGACUUCUAGUUUCCUUAAGCAGGAGACAAAAAUUUCCUGAUUUAACUUGUAUGAAUAUGUGUAUCAUUCUGACAGGAAGAUGUCCUUCAUCAAGCAUUGAUGUUUCAAGAUAUUUUUAGUUUGUUUACUAUGUUAAAAAACAAAAAUGUUUUAUUUUAAUUCUUAGCUCACCUCAAGGAAAUUAGGGGAGCUUAUGUAAUACUGUCAUCAUCCUGGGUUAAGGUAAAGUUUAUUAAAGCAGUUUUCUGUUGAAGUACUUUUAAGUCCUAUAUUGAUCAGACAUCCAUGAAAGAUCUUUCUCAUUUACGACUAACUAUAAGCAGUAAUUUAACCAAAUUUGCAUGGAUGAUCCAUCUAAGGAUGCAUACUACCAGACUUGCUUCAGAUGCUGCAUCUGACCUGCAUUUUCUGCUUGUGUGAACAGGUUAUAGUUCUUGGUUCUGUCUUCAUUUCAUUCAAAGAUACUUAAUGAGCCCUAUGACCAAACUUGCAUGGAUGAAACAUCUGACGAUAAAUACUACCAUACUUGCUUUGGAUGCUGAAUCUCACCUACAUUUUCCGGUUGAGUGAACAGGUUAACGUUUUUGGUACAGGUUUCAUUUCAAAGUAAGUUUGAGCAACUUAAUAACCAAACUUGCAUGGAUGAUGCAUCUAUUAAGGAUGCAUUCUACCAGGCUGGCUUUAGAUGCUGAAUCUGACUUACAUUUUCUUGAUUUGUGAAAAGGUUAUUUUUUAUACAUUUAAAUUUUCAAGUAAGUUUGAGUUUUAUGUUGAGCAAACUUGCAUCUAUGAAACAGCUUAGGAUGAACAUUUAUGGACUUCCUUCAGAUGAUAAAUUUGACAUACAUUUUCCAGAUAAUGGACCUUGUAAAAGUUUUGGAUGAAGGUCUAUUACCAAGAAACUAUAAGGCAUAUAUAAACCAAACUUGCACAAAUGAUGCAUCAAGGGAUUAAAACUCUCAAACUUGCCUCAGAUGCUGGAUUUUUAUUACAUUUUCAAGAUGAAGAAUUACUUUUAAGUUUUUAAAUAGGUCUAUACCAAAGUAUCAAAUCAAAAUCGCAUACAUUUUGUAUUUUUGGAUGUACACCUUUUUGUUGGUUUAUUGUAUGACUUUGCCUUACUUAAGGACAACAUUCAAUGUGGUGAGCUCUGUCAUCUUGGAUUACCUAUGUUUGAACAACUGGUAAAUAGGCUAAAAAGCAUAUUAUUGAACAACUUAUGAAUAGGCUAAAAGUAUUUUCAAUCUGGGGCCCAUUUCAAAAGUCUACUAUAUUUUGCUGUCCAUCAUACUCAUCAUUUUAUUUUCUUUUAAAAUUGUUUCAUCAUAACCCAGUAUAUUCAAUAUCUCUUGUACUUUUUUUUACAGACAUUACACUGUUUAAAAAGAAAUUCAUAUAUUUUUUUGGUUGUUAUUUUUCUUUAAUUGUUAAUUACACAACAUCCAAACCUUGCAUAUUGUUUGCUCAUUGCUAGAUUUUAUGUAUUCCUUCCAAUAUGGGCCAAAAAAAAUGUUUUUUCAAUAUUUCCUAAAACUAUACUCAAAUGUGUACAAAAUGCAUACUAAUUUUUUUAUC